AUUGCACGCUGGCGGCAGGCCUAACACAUGCAAGUCGAGCGGAGCGGCGGACGGGUGAGUAAUGCCUAGGAAUCUGCCUGGUUGUGGGGGCUAACGUCCGGAAACGGGCGCUAAUACCGCAUACUAUCAGAUGAGCCUAGGUGGGAUUAGCUAGUUGGUGGGGUAAAGGCCUACCAAGGCGACGAUCCGUAACUGGUAUGAGAGGAGGACCAGGCAAACUGGAACUGAGACACGGUCCAGACUCCGACGGGAGGCAGCAGUGGGGAAUAUUGGACAAGGGGCGAAAGCCUGAUCCAGCCAUGCCGCGUGUGUGAAGAAGGUCUUCGGAUUGUAAAGCACUGUAAGUUGGGAGGCGUUACCAACAGAAUAAGCACCGGCUAACUUCGUGCCAGCAGCCGCGGUAAUAC
rnacentral:rRNA from 1 species